CAUAUAAGGCCGCAGCACCACAGAUUAAUAGACAGAUAGCCAAUGACCCGGGUAAAGACUAGACCGGUACUUUCUCACUGAUUUCAGCGCCAUACCGUAGUAGUGGCCAAUGCAAUAACUACUAACUACGUUCUUAGGAUGAAACAGCGAGAUGAGUUAGUCUGACAAAGACUAACAAUCCAUCGCUCUGACUUUGUCUCACCAACGAUGAGCGUCUCGUGGACCCGUGCGGCGGCAAGCAUGAGAUAUCACCUUUCGCGUUUUUAUACUCGGCAAGCGGCAAAUCACAAACGAUAAUAAAAGUAUGUGUAUUUUUGUAUUUACCAGUUUAUUCGAGAAUGUGAAACGAUUCGCAUCAGCCAGCAGAAGAAAUUUUGUAGAUUAGUUAGAAGUUGAAAUGGACAAAGAACAAAUAAAAAGAAAGUUAGAAGAGAUCAUGGAAAAAGAAGAAAAAAUAAAAAAAAGAAGAAAAGAAUUUGAGAAAAUGUUGGAAGAAAAUAAUACUGAUGAGGGAGCAGAUAACGAUGAAAAUAUUAUAUGCAGAGAAACAGCAGCAGGAUCCAUCAUCCCACAUGCAGCGUCGGGCUGGUGUAAGGCGCGCCGAACGUGAUGAAAAAUAUAAAUGGUCUGCACGCAGAGAGAGAGGAAGAAUGGAGAGCAGAGGAGGAAGAAGUUCGAGAAGAAGAAGCAGAUCUUUUAGUAAAGGAGGAGCAGGAAGAGGAAGAGGC